AUGGUUACGCUGCCAGCCACCCGUGGACCCAUCACAGCCCCUUUCUUUCCCAAAGUGACCUCCGUUCUGACUCCUGCCGCCAACACUUUCAUGCCCUUCUUUGUGGUUUCAUCGUCCACAAAGAAGUCAAGCAUCCUCUACAACUUCUUGUGUCCUUCACGUCUCUUUCGAUUUAGAUGCCUCUGUUCAUCUCUUUUCCCUAAUGAGUCUGGCAAAGAGCGGAGGCCGCGGCCUUCCCCACCGUCAGCAGCCCGCCCUCUGACUGCGUUGUUCCGGUGCGGUCUCCAUGCGCCGCUGUUCUGGGGUCUGGCUCACUCGGGCCAGGAAUCGUGGUGUCCCAUCAGGAGGCCCUGGCAUCACGUUGGCAGCUGCCACGUUGAGGGCGCUGAUUCCUUUGGGCUGCAGAUGGCGAUGGUCUGGUUCUAUGAGGCCAUCUUCAUUUCUGAUCUGAAACAAGUCCACAGAGAGAGGCUCCACUUCAUGCUGUAUUUGGUCACAGGUGGUGCCUCCCUAGGGGAAGGGCAGGGUAAGUGCUGGCUUCUUCCCUCUAUUUUCCGGUUGUCAGGAUAAUGAUUCUGUUUCCUGUCAUCAUUGGAAGGCCCCAGGCUCGCUAAUGGGAAUGCCCUAAGGGUGGGGACAGUGUCUCAUUCAGCUUGUGACUCUGAACCCAAUAACGUGGGGCUUCCCUAUCACCCAGCAGGCUGUCGGCAGGCACUAGCAUUCUUACUAGGGAAUUUCCAGAAAUCAGCCUUCCCACAGCUACGUGGCGACAGAGGCUCAGAUGGUUGGAAGGCAUCACCGACUCAAUGGACGUGAAUCUGAAAANNNNNNNNNNNNNNNNNNNNNNNNNGGAAGCCUGGCGUGCUGCAGUCCAUGGGGUCGCAAAGAGUAGGACACGACCGAGCGAAUGAACAAUAAUAACAUAUGAAUUAUAUAAAAUGUCUAUGUUGAACACAGCAACAUGUGGAAUACAUAGAUUAGAUCAAUUUUUAAAAACUAGGCUGAUCAAGAAACAUGGCUCCUAUUGGCUGACCCUGCAUC
rnacentral:lncRNA from 1 species